rnacentral:rRNA from 1 species
UACGAAGGGAGCUAGCGUUGUUCGGAAUCACUGGGCGUAAAGCGCACGUAGGCGGAUGUGUCAGUCAGGGGUGAAAUCCCGGAGCUCAACUUCGGAACUGCCCUUGAUACUGCACGUCUUGAGUCCGGAAGAGGUGGGUGGAAUUCCUAGUGUAGAGGUGAAAUUCGUAGAUAUUAGGAAGAACACCGGUGGCGAAGGCGGCCCACUGGUCCGGUACUGACGCUGAGGUGCGAAAGCGUGGGGAGCAAACAGG